AUAAAACCCUCAAGUAAUUGGAUGGAAUUUCUAUGUGCCUCUUCCCAGCAAGCAUCCCUUACCCUUUUGGGGGAGACAUGGCUAUAUGUCAGGCCUGUGAGAACCCAAUGCAGGAACAGCAUGUGAUAUGAAAAUGGAAACUGUCGGAUUGAAACCAUACAUGGCGAAGUCAAAAAGAGACUCUUUCUUGCACUGUUUCAGAGGAUAAUACUGGAGGCUGCCAUGGGAGAAGUCUGCACAAAAAGAGCAAGUUUAAGAGCUUCAGGAGUCAUAAAUGGCUUGAGAAGAUUAUGCUAGAGAUUGAAGCAGAUGGAAGAUUCUAGAAACAGAAAGCAUUCUUUUCAUUGGUGUGAGUCUUGAAUAUAAAUGGAAAUCAGAGGUCUGUAAUAGCAGGCCAGUGUGGAUAAGGCAGUAAGGUUUUGAGUCUGAGGAGAUGGCUGGGGGCAGUUUGUAGACUUAUUGUCAGUCCAGUGUAGAAUUUGAGAAUAUAGCCAGGGCUUAAGGUUCCAGUUUCAAAUUAAAGACAAAAGAAAUCAGCAAUACCAAAAUGAA
rnacentral:lncRNA from 1 species